ACUAGAAUCUGCUACACAAGCAAUUGGGCCCAUACCCCAAAAACGAUACCCCCAUAUCUUCUAGUA
rnacentral:tRNA from 2 species